rnacentral:rRNA from 1 species
AUUGAACGCUGGCGGCAUGCUUUACACAUGCAAGUCGAACGGCAGCGCGGGCUUCGGCCUGGCGGCGAGUGGCGAACGGGUGAGUAAUACAUCGGAACGUGCCCAGUAGUGGGGGAUAGCUCGGCGAAAGCCGGAUUAAUACCGCAUACGACCUGAGGGUGAAAGCGGGGGAUCUUCGGACCUCGCGCUAUUGGAGCGGCCGAUGGCAGAUUAGCUAGUUGGUGGGGUAAAGGCCUACCAAGGCGACGACCUGUAGCUGGUCUGAGAGGACGACCAGCCACACUGGGACUGAGACACGGCCCAGACUCCUACGGGAGGCAGCAGUGGGGAAUUUUGGACAAAGGGCGAAAGCCUGAUCCAGCAAUGCCGCGUGUGUGAUGAAGGCCUUCGGGUUGUAAAGCACUCUUGGCGGGAACGAAAAGGACUGUGCCAAUACCACGGUUCGAUGACGGUACCCGCAGAAUAAGCACCGGCUAACUACGUG